rnacentral:antisense_RNA from 1 species
AUUUAUUUGGAACCGUUGGAUAAGAAGGGCUCGGGCUCUCGCUCAGACUUAGGGAGCUGUCUCGAGGUGAUGAAUGACACCCCCUGGCACCAGCUACCCUUCUCAGACCCCAGUCCAGCCCGCUCCCGACGUCGACUACGAUUCCGCUACCUCGGCGGGCAGCGAGGUUGGGGUGAGCCCCAGCUGCAGGCGCGUCUGGGCUGCGCCGCUGCAAACGAGUUGCGCACCUUGGGCGGCUGCGCACCUUGGGCGGCUCCGCACCUGCACCCGCACCCGCGGGGCUGAGCCCCGAAGGCUGCAGCUUCGGGGGAGGCGCGGUCGCCGAGGUCCAGCUGGUCGGGCGAGAGACGUCGCCCCUCGGAGGAUGCUCUCGGAACUUGGGAGAGGAAGGAGGGAAAAGAAGAGGGGAAAGGGGCCGUCGAUGUUUUUGAUGUCUGUGCUUUAAUGGAGGCCACCAAUAUUGAGAAGACAGGGUUGGCCGAGGCAACCCGCACGCUGCUACUCGCGAGCGCUCGAGUCAAAGCUAGGGCCAACCGCGGCUUGUCCGGUGCCCUGGGGGGCGGACACUUGGUUUAGCACCGGGACACAGAAUAGCCACCGGGGUAGGAAGAUGCGUUCACUUUGCUUACCUGUUGGCAAGAGGGACAUACAAAAAUAACGUAACGUGACAUCGUUGACAACGGUAGCUCUUUGAUUACACAAAAGCCAAUUUUACCUUCCCGCAAACGCCAGUUGACGCCUUUGGAACUUUUAUUUGCGGCAUUUUGGCGCCCUCUGGCUGUGUUUGGAUCGCUUUCAUGCUCGCCUGAGUCCCAGCCAAGAAAAAAUCGAUGGAGUUGCAGGUUGUCCUCAGGAUGGUUCUGCCCUCAUGACCUGGGCGCGAAUUCAGGGACAAGGUGGCCCUCCAGAACCGGAGUGACAAACUGUAACCAUACUUAGGGAGGCAGACGUCAAAGGCAAGUACAUCUGUAUUCAACUGGGUAAAGCCAUGUGAAGACGUGCCUGCCUCCCUGUCACCUUCCACCAUGAUUGUAAGCUUCCUGAGGCCUCCCCAGCCAUGCCUGCUGUAUAGCCUGCAGAACAGUUUCAGUCAAUUUGAUUAUAAAGCAAAGGUUUGGGAAGAAAGACUCAUAUUCCUCCUGAGAUGCAACCUCAAGUCUUAGGAAAAGAAGGUUUUGAACUCAGGUUCCGGGAAUGUGGAAGAGGAAGCUCUUAAAGGGCAAGUAGACUUUGCAACAUGCUCGUUUUCAGGAUUCUCCUCCUUUGUCCUCAACCCUGCCCAGUGUUCCCCUAACUCCACCUAAGCCACUCCAUAAAGUUAGGUCCCAUUCCUCUAUUCCUUCACUACUAAUGACAGCUAAUAGAGCUAAACAGAAUACCACAAUAGGCCAGAAGCUGCCUUUUUUUAUUAUUAUUAUUAUUCAUUGCCCAAUUUGUAGAACUCUCUGAAUUCAAUUAAAGUUUGGCAAAGCCUAUGCAAAUGAAACCAAGUACCUAUUUUUUGCUCAUCAUAAACCCAAAAGUUUUCUAGAGAACUGAAAGAGAUUUUCACCGAAUCUUUUUAUUUUUUUAAUCUAGAGAAUACAAUUGAGAACCAAAUCAAUAAAUAUCCUCAACCGUUACCUUUGUUAUAAGGGAACUACGAUGAACCGUGCUUGCCCCAUAUUUACCCUAGCAGCAACUAUGCUUUUUCUAUCUCUGGCCUUACCCUGCCUUCCUGCCUCCAGAGUCUGAGAUGGAGAAAGGCAAAGUCAGAUGGAGGAUAGAGCUGGGCAGGGAGUUGCUGCCAGCAACAAUUGGAGUUGCUGGUUUGCUUUCAACACUGCCCCCACUUUAUUGGCCAUGAGUUAACCAGUCAAAUGGGCAUCUAGGAAACAUGACCAAGAUCUGCAUUAGGGAAGCAAAGCAGAUUAAAAGGCACAAUUGCUGGCCAGGCAUGGUGGCUCACACCUCUAAUCCUAGUGAAAGGGGAGGCCAGUUGGACUUCCUGGGUCGAGUGGGGUGGGGUCUUGGAGAAAUUUUCUAUCUAGCUAGAGGAUUAUAAAUGCACCAAUCAGCUCUGUGUCUAGCUAAAGGUUUGUAAACGCACCAAUCAGCACUCUGUAAAAACGCACCAAUCAAUGCUCUGUGUCUAGCUAAAGGUUUGUAAACGCACCAAUCAGCACUCCGUAAAACGGACUGAUCAGUACUUUGUAAAAUGGACCAAUCAGCCAACAGCGGCAACCUGCUUGAGUCCCUUUCCACGUUGUGGAAGCUUUGUUCUUUCACUCUUCACAAUAAAUCUUGCUGCUGCUCACUCUUUGGGUCCACACUACCUUUUAUGAGCUGUAACACUCACCACGAGGGUCUGUGGCUUCAUUCCUUAGGUUAGCAAGACCACGAACCCACAGGGAGGAACAAACAACUCUGGGCACACCACCUUUAAGAGCUAUAACACUCACUGCGAAGGUCUGUGGCUUCACUCCUGUAGUCAGCAAAACCACAAACCCACCGGAAGGAAGAAACUCCAGACACAUCUGAAGGAACAAACUCUGGACACACCAUCUUUAAGAACUGUAACACUCACUGCGAGGGUCCGUGGCUUCAUUCUUGAAGUCAGGGAGACCAAGAACCCACCGGAAGGAACAAACUCCGGACACACUAGCACUUACAGGAGGCCCAGGUGGGAAGAUCACUUGAGGCCAGGAGUUUGAGACCAGCCUGGGCAACGUAGUCAGACCCCAUCUCUACAAAAAAAUUUAAAAAAUUAGCCGAGCAUGGUGGCAAGUGCCAGUAAUCCCAGCUACUCUUGGAGGCUGAGGCAGGAAGAGCCCUUGAGCCCAGGAGCUGGAGGCUGCAGUGAACUAUGAUCAAACCACUGUAGUCCAGCCUGAGUGACAGAGUGAGACCCUGCCUCU